rnacentral:rRNA from 1 species
UGGGGAAUAUUGCACAAUGGGCGCAAGCCUGAUGCAGCCAUGCCGCGUGUGUGAAGAAGGCCUUCGGGUUGUAAAGCACUUUCAGCGAGGAGGAAGGGUUCAGUGUUAAUAGCACUGUGCAUUGACGUUACUCGCAGAAGAAGCACCGGCUAACUCCGUACCAGCAGCCGCGGUAAUACGGAGGGUGCAAGCGUUAAUCGGAAUUACUGGGCGUAAAGCGCACGCAGGCGGUUUGUUAAGUCAGAUGUGAAAUCCCCGCGCUUAACGUGGAACUGCAUUUG